GUCCCUGUAGCGCAAUGGAUAGCGCGUUAGACUUUUAAUCCAAAGGUCAUGGGUUCGAAUUCCACCUGGGAUG